UAUGAAAGUUAUGCUGCCUUCAUAAAAUGAGUUGAGAAGUGUUAACAUUUUUUCUGUUCUCUGGAAUAUUUUUGUCUAAAACUGACAUUAUUUCUUUCUUAAAUGUUUACUAGAAUUCAACAGUGAACACAUUUGGACUUGGAGUUCUCACUGUGCAUACAAAACCCAUUUUAUUAUGAUCACUGAUUAUAUGGGUCACGAAUUCACACAGGGCACAGUGGGGAUGGCUUCUCUGUUGCCAAGUCUGGAGCGUCACUGGGAAGACUCAAAGGCUGAGGCUGAACAAUUUGAAGAUAACUUCCAGCUGACCUCCCACCAUGCUGUUCCAAGGAACAAAGCUUCCUGAAAGGAUGCAGGAUGAAGGAUUGUGCCUGGACUGCUAACCCCAUAGUUGACAACGUCUGUGGUGUUCCCGUUUCUUGAAACCGCUUUUUCUUUCCUUUAGUUUUUGUUUGUUAAUUUUGACCUUCAUUAGAAAGGUUAGUACACUUCAUCGGGAUACUUCGUGCUGAAAGUUAUGUCCAAAGGACUAUAUUUCUUAGUGAAAAUGUCUUAAGAGAUCACGGUUAGUAUUUGUAGCAGAGCUGGGUCAAAAUUAACAUAUUACAACAGCUUGUGUCAGCCUGGGUUGCAAACUUUCCACAAGAAAGGGUAGGCCGAAAGGUCAUACUCAUCAGCUCAUACCACAGAGAAUUGCAGAAUCCUAAAAGAUGAUUUCUUCCCUUUGCACAUAAAAGUCACCGACUGCUCUCGCUCCAGCCACCAUCCCCCCCUCCUGCCCAUGCACAGGACUUUCAUACACACCACUUGCCCCACAGUCCCCAGCUAGUUUCUAUCCCCUCUGUCUCUGUGAAUCUGAUUUCUUUGGGUCACUUUCUAGCUUGAUUAAAUACGUGUUACAUUGUUCUACCUUUUUUGUUGUCUGUAUGAUGGAAAUGUAUAUUUAAACCAUUAGGGAGCCACUAGCCCAGACCUCAGCAAUGACCGCAGUUAAUAACAGAGUUCUCACUCACAAUGUCAUGUGGGAUCUUUGCCUAUGGCACGAUUUGCUAGCCAUGAAAACCUCUUUAGCACCUCCCUCCGUUAUGCAAAUACCCAAGAAAAAACACUUCCCUAUUUCAGCCACUGAAUUGCAGGCUGUGGUCCCAGGCUGCACACCCCAGCCUGCAGCGCAUGGGUGGGAUUGCCAGAGUGUAACGGGACACAGGUUUCUGCGCAGACAGAUGCUCAGUGGAUUCUGUACUCAGAAGAAGGCUGAGCCUGACUUGGCUGCCCAGUCAGUAUGAUGUCCAGAUGACAGGUUAUUUUCUGUUACUUGUCUGCCAGUGUUGGCUUUAUCAAGCCUGAGGCUGGUAAAUGAAAGAUGCCCUCACUUUACCACUAGUGCUGCUGCACUAAUUCUUCCAGGUCACAAUCCAGAGCCUCUGAGAGCCAAGCUGUGUUGUCAGAGAACAAAAGAUGAGGAGAAAUUGAAGCCUCCAGUCCCGGGCCUGGGCUUUUUCCUUUCUCUACUGGCUCCAGCAUCUGCACCAGAGAGCACAGCAAUGUCUUCAGUACUACAAGACUGCUGUCUAACAGGUGCAGCAACUGGGAAACAUUCCAAUCUCCAGGGAUCUCAGGGGGUCUCAGAGUUUCAGGUCACCAGACUUAACGUUUGCUUAGCCUACCCCCCCUGACUUUGCAAGAGGCUAUCUUUUUCAUUGGGGGGCCCCAUCCUUUCUAUACCCUUUGUCCCAAACCACCACCAAUUCAUAUUACAUCCUGAACCUCUAAAUCAAUCCAUCUCUCUGUCUCUGUCUCCUUCUCUCUCUCCUUCUCUUUCUCUCUCCCUCUUUAUAAAGCAUGCUGUCUUUCAAUUAACAUAGUGAUGACCUAUUGUCACCCGUUACCAUGCUAAUCCAGAGCUGGUGUGAAAUUACUUUAUAAUAAACACUAUGGAGUUCUGACUUCCAAUUAAUUUUUCACAUGCUGCGCUAAAUCAGAUUAACUCUCUCCCUGUACCAUCACUUUUGACCACAGACGUAAUUCUUUCCUUAUAAUGAAAUAGAGGAUUAAUUUAUAUGAAGCAUAUCUGUACACAUUUGCAAAUAAAUGUAAAGAUAGAUUUUAUGCCAUA